AUGGAAACAUCUUCUCUCAUCCUUAAUAUGUAUUCAUGUCUUCCUCUCGGAGUAUAGGCUUGGCGAACUCUAGACGGCCUGCGGUUAGGCAACCGAGUUGGAGCCUUUGUUCCAUGUCUUUACUUUUUCCCUCUCCCUCCUUCUCUCUCUGUCUCUUCCUGAAUAAUGGCUUUGCAUACGCAGACGCGUCUUUGCUGAAAAACCUACAUGGUUAUUGACUCUGCAAGCAAGAGAAAAUCACUCAAAAAAGUCCCUCAGCGUCUUGCACCAUUCACUUUGCUUCAUUGCAUGGCACAACUCACCUCGCUGAUUCAUGAUUUGGAAUUACCAAAUCAAGAUUUGGUGUGUGUGUGCGCGCGUAAUGGGCUCUUGGAAGCAUUUCUUUGCAAGAUCCCCGGCGUGGGUCGGACCGGAGCGACGAUCAGCAGCAGUGCUCUAUUUAUAAAGAGGCUAUGAUGACUGCCAGAGCGAGAUGCGCCUAAAGAGGCUUCUUGGUUUAGUAAGAGAGAGAGAGAGAGAGAGAGAGAGAGGAGAGAGAGAGAGAUGGAAGUGAAGCAUUCCUGUUCAUCUUGUUGUAGUGGCAGGGCAAGCUUGGACGGUCUGCUACACCGCAGGCAACCGCUUGCAGCCACCUCAUGGUUAAGGUGCAGAGGAACUUGCAAUCCCUUAUUUUCCAAUGGCAGAUCUGAGCCUUCUUUUCCUCUUUCCCUUGUUCGCUCUGUUUGGCCUCUGAUUUAAGUACUGUUUUUAAGUUUUUCUUUUAUUUUUUUAAAUUUUUCUACACCUGGUGACCUUUGAAAGAUUUGAUUUGUUCCUGACGUCCCUUGUUAACCAAAAUGAUAGGGUGAUGAAUGAAGGAUUGGAGAAAUAUUUUGCAUUAUGAGAAGCCAGGUUUCCGGAAUCCUUAAUAAAUAUUAUCAGCUCCAGCGAACUGACAGACCGUAUCAGCUGAAGCAUGAAGCUACCGUGUCCAUUUAAGCAUUGGCUUAGCAUCAACUGAAGGACCAUCCAGAAUUAAAGGCAAAAGAACUUGAAUGAUUGCAUCAGAAGGUAUUUCACACCCUGAGAGUCAGGUAUGGGACCUGGGCCUCACCUUCUUCCUCCAUAUAUCUAUCGCGGAUGAUGAUUUCUUCCUUUCCCUGGGCUUCACUCAGUCUUGUCAUGUAUGAACACAUUGGUGGGUCUUGCAACAAUAUAUGCAUGAGCUGUGGUUCAUCUUUUUCUCCCCCGCUCCAUUCCCCCCAUUCCCCACCAAAUAAGGGAAUUUGCAAAACAUAUUUCUGUCUUCUUAAAUGAAAGUUUCCUUUUGGACAACAGCAGUCUUUUGGGAUGGUUUUUGGAGCGAGAUAUAUCAUAAAGAU
rnacentral:lncRNA from 1 species